AUUGAACGCUGGCGGCAGGCCUAACACAUGCAAGUCGAGCGAGCGGCGGACGGGUGAGUAAUGUCUGGGAAACUGCCUGAUGGAGGGGGAUAACUACUGGAAACGGUAGCUAAUACCGCAUACCCUCAGAUGUGCCCAGAUGGGAUUAGCUAGUAGGUGGGGUAACGGCCCACCUAGGCGACGCUCCCUAGCUGGUCUUAGAGAAUGACCAGCCAUACUGGAACGGAGACACGGUCCAGAAUCCGACGGGAGGCAGCAGUGGGGAAUAUUGCACAAAGGGCGCAAGCCUGAGGCAGCCAUGCCGCGUGUGUGAAGAAGGCCUUCGGGUGGUAAAGCACUUUCAGCGGGGAGGCGUUACCCGCAGAAGAAGCACCGGCUAACUCCGUGCCAGAAGCCGCGGUAAUUC
rnacentral:rRNA from 1 species